rnacentral:lncRNA from 1 species
ACAUCCCGCAAAUAAACCUCGCACAUGUAAAUCUAAGCAGUCAGGAUGACAGCACCGCCGGCCACUUUGAUCUUCUUCUCCGCAAGCUUGGAGAAAAACUUGGCCUUCACAACCAUAGGCUGAGACGGUAAGUCACCCUUGCCAAGCACCUUGAAGAACCCGUGCUGGGUAACGUCCAAGAGAGGUGCGCUCAUGUCUCCAUCAGCCUUCUCCUUCACGGCCUCAGGCACCAACGACCAUAACUUAUCGAUGUUCACGAUGGGACAGUGGAACUUGUUCAUCGUCUUGUGGAAGUACCGCAUACCGACCUUGCCGAAGUAUCCUGGAUGGUACUUAUCGAACAGGAUCCGGUGGUGGUGCAUACCUCCAGCAUUACCUCGACCUCCAGGAUGCUUGCGGUGCUUGCCAACACGCCCAUGACCAGCGCUCACAUGUCCCCUUUUCUUCCUGUUCUUCUUCAGACGGGUCGUCAUGCUGCCGUUCCUCUAGCG